GGGUAACGGCUCCUCUGCUCCCUGCCAAAAUUUGCUUCUCUUGGUCUUGUUUGCUUCCCCCACUGGAACGUCAGCUCCUCGGGGCCAGAUUUCUGUGUCUUGCUCACUGCUGGGCGCACCCGGUGCCUGGCAUGGAGCAGGAGCUCGUUCAGGACUUGCUGGAUGGAUUAUGGAUGAAGGGACACUCAGGCGCCAGCCCCCCACCCCAGCUCAAUGCCUCCCGCAGGGAAAGGUGCAGGCUGCCCACCAAAUUUCCGCCAUGGGGAGAGGCUACAUAGCCGGCUUGGGCCAGCGUCUUGGUGUGUGGAGCCAGGGGGCCGUGCGGGGCGGCAGGAACAGCCCAGGCAUCCUUCGGGGAACUAGAGAAGCAAGUCCAACGGGGCUGUUGGAACCCAAAGGGCCUUGGAGAGCCGGGGGCCGGUGACUGGGUCAACCAAGAGGGCAGCUUGGCCCAUCUUGGAGCAGGGCUUGUAGGGGGAGGGGAGUGUGGCCCCGGCCAGGCCCUACCUGCUGGCCUUGCUGCAGGACCUGAGAACUACUGUCCUCGAGGGCCCAGGGGUGCCAGGGACAGUGAGGAGUGUCCAUCCGCACUCUUGAGUUGCAAGUGACAGAAAGCCAGUCCUAACUAGCCUUGCAGAGAAGGGACACAAAUCCAAGCCUCAGAAGGUAGACCCAGCCUGGGGGACCAGUGGACCCUGGGGCUUGCAGUCCAUCGGACGCUGUCUGCCUCUCCGCUCUGUUUCUCCCGGGGGUGGCCCCACUCUCCGCUGCUGCAGGCUGGCUGCUCCGGGGUGAGGAGGCCACGGACAGCAGCAGCUCUGAGGUCACCUCUCACUGCAUCUUGGCUGGAGUGGGAGGAGAGCCUCCCACUACCCACUGCCGUCAGAAACCCCAGGGUGGCCCCGAAUGCAUCUGCAAAGACACCUGCAGGCCCCUGCUGAGGAAGGAGAAGGGGGCGGGGGAGGACGCCGUGAGAGCCUCAGCCCACCUCUGGUUCCAGCCGUGGCCUCGGUGCACAGUCAGCCCAGGCUCCAGGCCCCCCAGCUGCCAGGCCACCACAAGUGCUCGGGCAUCUUACUGCAUUCUGCUCCCAG
rnacentral:lncRNA from 1 species